rnacentral:precursor_RNA from 14 species
GUUUGUCUUAAAAUCCCUCAUUCGCCAAUUAGGACUUCACAACAUGCGAAUACCACCACUUCUAUGGAUAUUCGUUGUUGAUGAAGUCUUAAUGGACGUCUGCGGGGUCCAGGUUUGAAGUG